AUGCUUUUGUUUAUGAAAAUAGAUUAUAAUUGGUGUUCUUUAACUUCUUUUUUCCUGGAGGUAUUCUUUAAAUUUACUCUGUAAUAAAUUUAUUUGAUGCUAGCGUCUUCACCACAUUCAAGAUAUCUAAAUUUUUUUUAAUUCAGGUACAUACUUAGACCGCUUAAUUUUAUUCGAUUUUGGUCUUCAUAUGUAUUUAUUAUGUUGUUGUUGUAUUGGUCUUCAUAUGUAUUUAUAACUGCUUGACGAUUAUUUCGGAGUGCUAAGCUGCAGACAUGACGACUCAUAAACUGAGAGCCACAAAGGAAAUACUCCAACCAUGAAACCAUAAUUACGAUGUGAUAAUUUAUUUAGGUUGGUGAUUGGAAGAAAACGAGGAAGUAAAUGGUGAUGAAGACAGCAAAGAGGAGGAACAAACAUGGAAGGAAAAAUUGAUACGAAAUUAAGCAACUUGAAUUCGAUAGUAACAAUACACCUUGUAUGGACUUUAAAAAAAUUCUAUGGACUUAGAAUAAUACAUUGUUCACAAAUGUAGCUCCUGAAAAACUUAUUUUUCCCGUUUUCUCCUUUUGUAGCACUUUGUUUCUCAGAAGACAAACCUUGAAAUUUCGAUCUAA